rnacentral:lncRNA from 1 species
AAAGGCUGAUAGCAAAACGAUAAUUUAUAUUAAACAUCAACUUUCAAUACAUAAUGCAACACAAAAAUAAACCACUGUAACAAUAGCUAAGACAUAUAUCUAAUACAGGCACAAUGGAAUGCAUUAAUAAAGCUAAUAUCAAAAUCUUUCAGAUGAUAAAUAAAGGGAUUUUUGAGUUUUUUUAGACAGACAAGAAAAUACUUUCGAGUUUGGAUGUUCGUGGAUUCGACCUAUAUAUAUAUCUCAUGAAAAUAAUUGUAAAAUUUAAACCAAAAUUUCAAAUGGAGAUCUGCUUUCAGCUAUACCUAGUCAUGAGAUUCAAAAACAAUCCUACCAGGUUUCAUAUCAAGAGUCAUUCUUGGGUUCACCAACCAAUAGAAAAUUGUCAUUUUAGAUCUAGUAUCUUUUAAUUAAGGAAACCAAAUAAUUUGGCAAAUUAUAUUAUCUUUUCAAAAUAAAAUUUAAAAAUAAAUAAAAAUAAUAUAUAAAAAACGAAUUCAAAAAAAAAAAUAUUGUCAACAAAACACUAAACCCUAAAUUCUAAUACUAAACCCUAAACUCUAAUACUAAAUCCUAAACUUAAAUCCUAAACCCUAAACCCUUGGGUAAACCCUAAAUCCUUGGGUAAACCCUAAACCCUCGGAAAAACACUAAACAUGUUGUCAACAAAACACUAAACCCUAAAUUCUAAUCCUAAACCCUAAACCCUUGGGAAAACCCUAAACCCUUGGGUAAACCCUAAACCCUUAGGUAAACCCUAAACCCUUAG